ACCUCUAAUCUUCAUGAUGGACUUCUCAAUCUUCUUCGCACAUCCCACACAAUGCAGGUCCACUAACAAGACGAAGGGAGAUGGAGGUUUUGGCUCUUCCUUCUUCUCUUCCUCAGCAGGCUUCUCCUCCUUUUUCUCUUCAACUUUCUCCUCCGGCUUGGCCUCUGCCUGCUUAGCUUCUUCACCCAUUUGCAGCAGCUAAUAGUUAGCAGAACUUGACUUUGAUGAAACUGAGGAGAAGAAUAUAAUAAAAAAAUAAGAAGAGCUAAAGUGGGAGGAAUACUGAAGGAACAGAAACGAGGUUUUAUAUAUACAGCGGUUGAGAGAG
rnacentral:misc_RNA from 1 species